AUGAAUAAACCUGGUUUGCUGUUGCUGGCUCUUCGGAGUAAUGUGCACGCUUAUCAUCUUUAUAUUUCCACCUGUGCACCUUUUGUAGACUUGGAUUAUCUCUCGAGGUAACUCGGAUGUGGGUUUGCAGUUGUGAAAACUCUGCUCUCCUUGUAUUAUCCAGUCUAUGUUAAUUAUAUACACCAUUAGUAUGUUUAUAGAAUGUCGUUAUUAGGAUUUCAAAUCCUUUUAAUCAAAUACAACUUUCAGCAACGGAUCUCUUGGCUCUCGCAUCGAUGAAGAACGCAGCGAAAUGCGAUAAGUAAUGUGAAUUGCAGAAUUCAGUGAAUCAUCGAAUCUUUGAACGCACCUUGCGCUCCUUGGUAUUCCGAGGAGCAUGCCUGUUUGAGUGUCAUUAAAUUAUCAACCACUUCUACUUUUAUUAGUUGAAGCUGGCUUGGAUGUGGGGGUUGCCGGCUUUUCUAAUAUAAAA
rnacentral:misc_RNA from 1 species